AUACUUACCUGGCAGGGGAGAUACCAUGAUCACGAAGGUGGUUUCUCCAGGGCGAGGCUUAUCCAUUGCUCUCCGGAUGUGCUGACCCCUGCAGUUUCCCCAAAUGCAGGGAAACUUGACUGCAUAAUUUGUGUUAGUGGGGGACUGCGUUCACACUCUCCUCUG